CCUACGGGGAGCUGCAGUGGGGAAUAUUGGACAAUGGGCGAAAGCCUGAUCCAGCCAUGCCGCGUGUGUGAAGAAGGCCUUCGGGUUGUAAAGCACUUUCAGUGGGGAAGAAAGCCUUGGGGCUAAUACCCUCGAGGAAGGACAUCACCCACAGAAGAAGCACCGGCUAACUCCGUGCCAGCAGCCGCGGUAAUACGGAGGGUGCGAGCGUUAAUCGGAAUUACUGGGCGUAAAGCGCGCGUAGGCGGUCUGAUAAGCCGGUUGUGAAAGCCCCGGGCUCAACCUGGGAACGGCAUCCGGAACUGUCAGGCUAGAGUGCAGGAGAGGAAGGUAGAAUUCCCGGUGUAGCGGUGAAAUGCGUAGAGAGCGGGAGGAAUACCAGUGGCGAAGGCGGCCUUCUGGACUGACACUGACGCUGAGGUGCGAAAGCGUGGGUAGCAAACAGGAUUAGAUACCCCAGUAGUC
rnacentral:rRNA from 1 species